AUAAUCUAUUCAAACUAGAAUAAAGCGAUCGAAUGUAUAUAAAUAGAGCGGUUAAGUUUUAUAUAAUCCCUGUAUAACUACUUAGUAGACUCUAUGCUGUACCUAUUCUUAUAUAUGAGAAUAGGUAUAGCAUAGAGUCUACUAGGCAGUCAUGUAGGGAUUAUAUAAGGCCCAACCGCUCUAUUUAUACGCAUUCGAGCGCUUCAUUCUAGUUUGAAUAGAUUAU
rnacentral:miRNA from 1 species